rnacentral:rRNA from 1 species
UACGUAGGUGGCAAGCGUUGUCCGGAUUUACUGGGCGUAAAGCGCGCGCAGGCGGUGAAUGAAGUCGAAAGUGAAAGCCCCGAGCUCAACUCGGGAACUGCUUUCGAAACCAGUUCACUUGGAGGUGGAAGAGGGAAGUGGAAUUCCGAGUGUAGCGGUGGAAUGCGUAGAUAUUCGGAGGAACACCAGAGGCGAAGGCGACUUCCUGGUCCAAUCUUGACGCUGAGGCGCGAAAGCUAGGGGAGCAAACAGG